AUUGAACGCUGGCGGCAGGCUAAACACAUGCAAGUCGAGCGGGGUGAUGGUGCUUGCACUAUCACUUAGCGGCGGACGGGUGAGUAAUGCUUAGGAAUCUGCCUAUUAGUGGGGGACAACAUCUCGAAAGGGAUGCUAAUACCGCAUACGUCCUACGGGAGAAAGCAGGGGAUCACUUGUGACCUUGCGCUAAUAGAUGAGCCUAAGUCGGAUUAGCUAGUUGGUGGGGUAAAGGCCUACCAAGGCGACGAUCCCUAGCUGGUCUGAGAGGAUGACCAGCCACACUGGAACUGAGACACGGUCCAGACUCCUACGGGAGGCAGCAGUGGGGAAUAUUGCACAAUGGGCGCAAGCCUGAUGCAGCCAUGCCGCGUGUAUGAAGAAGGCCUUCGGGUUGUAAAGUACUUUCAGCGGGGAGGAAGGCGAUAAGGUUAAUAACCUUGUCGAUUGACGUUACCCGCAGAAGAAGCACCGGCUAACUCCGUGCCAGCCGCCGCAGUAA
rnacentral:rRNA from 1 species